UAGGGAAUCUUCCACAAUGGACGAAAGUCUGAUGGAGCAACGCCGCGUGAGUGAUGAAGGGUUUCGGCUCGUAAAACUCUGUUGUUGGAGAAGAACGGGUGUCAGAGUAACUGUUGACAUCGUGACGGUAUCCAACCAGAAAGCCACGGCUAACUACGUGCCAGCAGCCGCGGUAAUACGUAGGUGGCAAGCGUUGUCCGGAUUUAUUGGGCGUAAAGCGAGCGCAGGCGGUUUUUUAGGUCUGAUGUGAAAGCCUUCGGCUUAACCGGAGAAGUGCAUCGGAAACCGGGAGACUUGAGUGCAGAAGAGGACAGUGGAACUCCAUGUGUAGCGGUGAAAUGCGUAGAUAUAUGGAAGAACACCAGUGGCGAAGGCGGCUGUCUGGUCUGCAAACUGACGCUGAGGCUCGAAAGCAUGGGUAGCGAACAGGAUUAGAUACCCUUGGUAGUCCAUGCCGUAAACGAUGAGUGCUAAG
rnacentral:rRNA from 1 species